rnacentral:rRNA from 1 species
AUUGAACGCUGGCGGCAUGCCUAACACAUGCAAGUCGAACGAGUGGCGGACGGGUGAGUAAUGUCUGGGAAACUGCCUGAUGGAGGGGGAUAACUACUGGAAACGGUGGCUAAUACCGCAUAGCAUCCGAUUUUCCCAGGUGGGAUUAGCUAGUAGGUGGGGUAAAGGCUCACCAAGGCAACGAUCCCUAGCUGGUCUGAGAGGAUGACCAGCCACACUGGAACUGAGACACGGUCCAGACUCCUACGGGAGGCAGCAGUGGGGAAUAUUGCACAAUGGGCGCAAGCCUGAUGCAGCCAUGCCGCGUGUAUGAAGAAGGCCUUCGGGUUGUAAAGUACUUUCAGCGGGGAGGCGUUACCCACAGAAGAAGCACCGGCUAACUCCGUGCCAGCAGCCGCGGUAAUAC